AUGCCUUCGGUAAUCAGCAGCAACACACGAGAUCCUGGAACCUGCAUUAGUUAUUGUUUGCACAAUAAUUACUUAUUGAUAUCAUUACCAAGCUAUCCGAGCCAUCACUCCCGGGACAACACUUGGUUUCCUUGCCCAUCUAUUCGUCGGAUCUGUACACAAUUGACAGGAUUGACUUCAGAUCUUACGAAAGGUUUCAUAAAGAUAGUUCAGAACCUAAUCUAUACAAAGUUUUACAAACGAAAUCUACACAAACUCAUGGAUUUGAAACUGAAAGAUAUUAUGUGA
rnacentral:rRNA from 1 species